rnacentral:rRNA from 1 species
CACGUAGGGUGCGAGCGUUGUCCGGAAUUAUUGGGCGUAAAGAGCUCGUAGGCGGUGUGUCGCGUCGGCCGUGAAAACCUGCAGCUUAACUGUGGGCUUGCGGUCGAUACGGGCAUCACUGGAGUUCGGCAGGGGAGACUGGAAUUCCUGGUGUAGCGGUGAAAUGCGCAGGAUAUCAGGAGGAACACCGGUGGCGAAGGCGG